GCCUUCGUGGUGAAAUGGUCAGCACACUCGGCGCGUAUUCUAGAGGUCCGAGGUUCGAGUCCCGGCAAGGGCA
rnacentral:tRNA from 1 species